AGGAGGAACAACCCCAGUGGCUGCGGCAGCUCUGGAAACCUGGAUUCAGCCCCCACAGGAAUUCUGAAGCACUCCAUCUGCAGGGCCUGGAGGCUCCGGGGCGGG
rnacentral:pre_miRNA from 1 species